GAGGGUGGCAGAGCCCAGCCACCAGGGUCUGCUCCAUGCCUGGUCCCUGGAGAGGCCCUCACCCUCUCUGCUUUCACCCAACCCGACUGACACGGAGUAGGAGGUGGGAAUCAUGCAGGCAGGGAGCUUAGGAAGCCUGGUUCAAGAUUGCUUUGAAUGGCAGGCCCCCUGCUGUGCUCCUGGGGAGAGAGCCUGAAACCUGGAUGCUCGGGAGCCCCUCAGAUCCGUCAUCUGUCCCCGACACCCCUGUGGUGAGCCUUGCCACUGGGCCCUGAGAAGCUCAGAGCAGUCGAGUCAGGGCAGUGGGACAUGACCCAGGUCAGAUGUGGCUUUUCCGUAAUUGUACACCAAUGAUCAAGAGAAAAUGAAGGAUUUUAAUAUCCAGGAAGAUCCUCCGCCUCAGUGCCAGGCCACUGCCCACCACAUGGGAGCAGGAACCAGGGCAUGGGCAGGCAGAAGAGCAGGCGGAGUGGCUGAGCUCCUGUCCCGGCUCCCUAAGGUGUUCCCAGUUUGCGGAGGAUUACGUGCCCUCUCAGCCCAGUAGCACACUUUCCAAAUAAGCCAUCAGACUCCUCCCAAGAUCCUGAAACUGAGGCUCAGAGAGCAGAAGCAGCUUGGCCAAAGUCAUACAACUGGUAGUUGGUAAAGGAGCUGGCCUUGAACUCAGGGAUAUCUUGAAAGCCACUGUUGCUUCUAUGGACUCUAGCCAUUCAAAAGACCCCUCACCUUCUAUAAGACCCCAGGAGAUCCUCAGGGUCCAACUGCUCCCUUGAAAACAGGUCCCAGAUAUAUCUGCCAAAGGUAUGAUUAGGUGCCUAAACACAUACCAUGAGAAAGGGAUUCCAUGUCUUCCAAUCCUGCCCAGAGAUGCAGAGACACCACCACCCAGGGAGAGAUAGCCAGAAACUAAAAUAAGAUGUUAGAGACAGGUGGUUGAUAGUGACAGAUACAGCCACACCAAGACAGGCUCAAAGGGAGGAAGACUGAGGGGAAGCCAGAGACAGAGAGGGACACAUUAGGCCAAAGAAUGAGAGAGAUAGCUGGAAAAGGAGACAAUAGGAGUAGAGGAGGGUACAGGCUGACAUGAAAAAACACCGACAGAUACACUCCAGUAUGCAGACAGACACAUAUAGACCCAUCUGACCUUCACAAGAAACAGACUGUGAAAGCAAGCAAGGCUCAGGCUGUGUGUGGUGUGCGUAUGUGUGUGUGCGUAUUGUGGGGGGAGCAUGCAGAGUCUGUAUAGCUACGCACAUUACACCAGCUGCUUCCAGCAAUUUCAUCUGAUUAAUAAUAAAUGCCCCAUAAUUACAGCCGC
rnacentral:lncRNA from 1 species